UGUGCCUAGGAAUCCCACAAGAACCUUAUUGAGAAUUCAGACUCUGGUGCAGUAGGUCUGGGCUGGGGCUGAGAAUUGGCAUUCCUCAGCUCUCCCACAUGAUGCUAAUGCUGCUGGCCUUCAAUCCAGAUGUGAGAGGAGGGUAAGGUAACUCUAUGGGAGUCAGGAUCUUCUCCUUGCUCUCUACUCCCCUGAACCGUGCCCGGCCCGUAGCAGUGCACAGUCAAUAUUUACCACAUCAUCACCCAUCAGACUUGGCCCACUUCUCCAUCUGGCCCAUCUGACACUGUGUGGGUCGUGGGUGCCUGACAUUCCUAGUGUCAGGAUCCCAGGGAGGAAAACUGUCUGGGGGGAAAAAAAAAAAAGCCAAGUAGAAAAAGUGGCCCAGCCAACCUGUUGAGAUUAAGGGGCGGCUUUGCCAAUAAUAGGGCAAAGACAAAUCUCCCAAUCAGAAUUCUAACAAUUUGUGCAAAUAUCCCCCUCAAGGAGAGGCAGAGCAUUGACUCCCCACCCUUAGGUAAUGGCCUGUUCCACAGAGUGGAGUGAUAGGAGGCGGAGAGUAAAUUUAUCAUAGAGAAACCUGGCACGUAGCCAGGUGGUCAAGGUCCGCCUCUUCAAAGACAAGUCAUGUUGGUAGUCUGUCUUAGUCAGUGCUGGCUGCUAUAACAAUCACCAUAGACUGGCUGGCUACAGCAACAGAUGUCUCUUUUUCUCAAUUUGGGAGGCUAGAAGGCUAGGGUCAGGCUCUGGUGAGGGCCCUCUUCCAGGUUGCAGAUGCUGGCUUCCCACUGCAGCCUCUCCUGGGGGAGAUGAGAGAGGAGGACGCCAGCUCUCUGCGGUCUCAGCUUAUGAGAGCAUGAAACCCAUCAUGAGGGCUCCACCCUCCUAAGCUAAUCACCUCCACAGGCCCCGCCCCCUUAUACCCUGGCAUUGGGGAUUAAUUGGGGGUGGGGUGGGGCGGGACACAAGCAUCCAGUCCCUAACAGUAUGUAUCCUUGAUGUGAUGAAAUGACAAUGGCACUCUAGUCUUUUCCAAAGUCCCUAAUGAAGAACACCAAACACACAUUAAGUGACAUUCUAUAAAACUGCCUGGCCUGUUUGCAAAACUGUCAAGGUCAUCGAAAACAAGGAUGGAGCCAGGCUUGGUGGUUCACACCUGUAAUCCCAGCAGCUUGGGAGGCUGAGGCAGGAGGAUCGCAAGUUCAAAGCCAGCCUCAGCAAUUUAGUGAGGUCUUGAAUAACUUGAAGGGGGCUGGGGAUGUGGCUCAGUGGUUGAGUGCCCCUGAGUUCAAUCCCUGGUACCAAAAAAGAAAGAAAACAAGGACAGAAUGAGAAAUUGUCACAACACAGAUGAGAACUAAAUCUAAUGUGGUGUCCUAGAUGUGACCCUGAAAAACAAAAAGGACAUUAGGGAGAAAACAAUAAAAUCUGAAUAAAGUACAGAAUCUAGUUAAAAUAAUAUAUCACUGUGGAGUCGUUAGUUAUAACAAGUGUAAUAAUAAUACAAGAUGCUAACAGUAGGGGAAUCUAGGGCCAGGAUACCUGAGGACUUCGUACUGUCUUUAAAAAUCUAAAACCAUAUAAAAAUUAUUUUGAAAAAAAAACUAAAACUAAUUUUUAGUUUAACUCCAAAACUAUUAAAUCUUUUUUUUGCCAAUCUAAAACUAUUCUAAAGUUACAUAUUUAAUUUCAAAAAUAUUGGAAACUUUUUUCCACCAAAAAGUUUAUAUGAUCAGAAGUCACCAAUUGUCAGUGGAGGAAAUUGUGGUCCCGAGAAAGGUCAUCAGCUCAGUCCCCCACUGAUGGCUUUGGCUGGGGUCACUUUGAACUCGGGAACCAAUAGCAUCUGCAGAACCAGAUUUCAACCACCUUUCAGACCCCAUUUGUAUGACAGAUUCAGGGAAGUUCGGGGCUUCCUGCCCUGGUGUCUCUUCCCGAAGCAGGUAGUUCUCAGGGGAAUGUGUCCGACACAUUCAUAGGCAGCUGGUGUUCCUCAGCCUAAGACUCUGAAGGCUGUGAUAGGAAAGUUCCAUGUCAGGGAAACAUGCCCAACACAGACCCCUCAUGCAAUAAGGUAGCACAGAGCUGGCCCCAGGCUCCUGUCCCUGCACGCCCCUCCCGUGCUUCCUGGCUUCUCCCACACUCCUCUCUGUUCCAGAAUUUGGGUCUGUGACGCCCACAUCCCUCGGGCUUGGAACCUGGGCCUGGACGCUCUUCUCUUUCCCGAGCAACAUUGGCCUCCGAGGCUUUGAACACCAUCUCUGGUUGUAGUAUGUUUCUGAUCCAGGCUGAGAGAAGAGAUUCUGAGAUGCCACCUGUCCCUUGACAGCAGCACGCUUGACGACCCCCUUGGGCUUACUGGAUUCAGGAGGCUGCACCAGGCUGGUUGCUGAGGGACAGGUAAAGGCAUCCUGAGGAUUUCUCCCAGAGCCGGGGGCAUCAAUUUCCCCCACAACAUAUCCACCUGGGCCUGCUUCUCCCAGCCCGCUGAGGAACGCUGGUAGUAAAACAGCAGAACAGACGGCUGCUUUAUGGGCCAGAAGAAAGUGAUUUCCCACCUGGGGCCAGUAAAGAAUCCAAGGCUCCAUUCUGUCCUUUCCCUCCGAGAAGGUUUUUCCUCCUGUCUCAAGUGAUCUCAUGGGGCCAUUAGCUUAGACACAGCAGCAGAAAUGCCAGGGACAGGUGGGCUAUCUUAAAAGGAUGCUCUCUCAUCCCAUCCACAAAGGAGGUAGGCCCAGAGCCAUCGCCCGCAUCCCCCAGACCCAAUCAAGCCCAGCUUUCUUUCGGUGCCACUCGCCCAGCCCCAGCUAUCUCUCCAGGACCUGUGAUUCCGCAGAGAGUAGUUCCUAAGAACUGCUCCCGCUUGGUAUCCUCUUAAGAGUGAAAUGGCCAAAUUAAAAAGCUCAGACAAAACUGGUGUUAUGAAAAUGUGGAGUAACUGGAGAACCUGCCCCCUGCUGGUGGCAGCGGGUCUCAGAUGGUGCAGGCUGCUCUAACAAUUUGCCAGAGACGGGACAGCUUAAAAGACAACAUGUAUCUCGCAGUUCCAGAGGCUGGGGAGCUCAAGAUGCAGGUGACAGCAGACUUGGUGUCUGAUGAGAAUGCUCUUCUGGAUGCCAGAUGGCCAUCGUAUCCUCCCAGGGUGGAGAGCCGAGAGGGAGGAAGUGACCUCGAGGUGUCUCUGCUUAUAAGGCCACUAAUCCCAUUAUGAAGACUCUACCCUUGAGACCUGAUCUCCGGAUGUCAUCACAUUGGGGUUUAGGGUUCCAACAGCCCCAGGUUGGAAACAAGCCCCGAUCCCCAGUAGUGAGCAAACUAUAAGGUGCACACAUGGGACUGGAACACCAACGGGCAUCAAUGAGCCGCAACCCCCUGCAGCCCCCUGGACGGUCUCACCAACAGAAGGCUGAGCGAAAGAAGCCAGCCACCGGGAGGGACGCUGCUGUGUGAGUCCCCAAGGCCAACUCAUAACCACACAAAGACAAGUCAUGGAAGCCAAAGUCAGGAGAGCGGUCGGGCCUGGGGAUGAGUGGAACAGUCGUGAGGAAAGGACAGAAGGGGCUCUGGGACUGUGGCGACCCUCCGUUCCUCCAUCUGUGCACCAGCUACGACGGGGAGCUCACUUAUAGUUCUUUUGCUUAUUUAGGAUCACAAUAAACAAAAGUCUAAUUUUCA